rnacentral:rRNA from 1 species
AACGAACGCUGGCGGCGUGCUUAACACAUGCAAGUCGAACGCGAAAGGGACUUCGGUCCUGAGUAAAGUGGCGCACGGGUGAGUAACGCGUGGAUAAUCUACCCGACGGACCGGGAUAACAUUUCGAAAGGGGUGCUAAUACCGGAUAAGACCACGGGCUCUUCGGGGCUUGGGGUAAAAGGUGGGGACCUUCGGGCCUACCGUCAUCGGAUGAGUCCGCGUACCAUUAGCUAGUUGGUGGGGUAAAGGCCUACCAAGGCGACGAUGGUUAGCUGGUCUGAGAGGAUGAUCAGCCACACUGGAACUGAGACACGGUCCAGACUCCUACGGGAGGCAGCAGUGGGGAAUUUUGCGCAAUGGGGGAAACCCUGACGCAGCAACGCCGCGUGAGUGAUGAAGG